AAUGUGAAGCAAACUAACCUACAUUUGUGGUAUCAUUAGAAAAAGAUAUUAUUGAGACUAACUGCUGCAUGAUUUUGAAGUGUUACAAUUUUGUCAAAAUACAAAUAUGUAGCUUAAAUUCAGACUCAUUAACCGGAGCUAUCAGACUGCUCAUUCUGUCUAUUCUGUUUAAUUGAAUUUAGCAUUUUUAGCACAUUUAUAUAAAUCUCUAUGUUGAUUUUUGACCACGCACUUGUCAAUACUUCAAUUCUAAAUUCUGUCAUCAGUAAAAAUAGCAAUAAAAUGCAAUAACAUGGGUAAGCACAACAUUCACAUUUCC